rnacentral:rRNA from 1 species
GAUGAACGCUGGCGGCGUGCCUAAUACAUGCAAGUCGAGCGAACGGACGAGAAGCUUGCUUCUCUGAUGUUAGCGGCGGACGGGUGAGUAACACGUGGAUAACCUACCUAUAAGACUGGGAUAACUUCGGGAAACCGGAGCUAAUACCGGAUAAUAUUUCGAACCGCAUGGUUCAAAAGUGAAAGACGGUCUUGCUGUCACUUAUAGAUGGAUCCGCGCUGCAUUAGCUAGUUGGUAAGGUAACGGCUUACCAAGGCAACGAUGCAUAGCCGACCUGAGAGGGUGAUCGGCCACACUGGAACUGAGACACGGUCCAGACUCCUACGGGAGGCAGCAGUAGGGAAUCUUCCGCAAAGGGCGAAAGCCUGACGGAGCAACGCCGCGUGAGUGAUGAAGGUCUUCGGAUCGUAAAACUCUGUUAUUAGGGAAGAACAUAUGUGUAAGUAACUAUGCACAUCUUGACGGUACCUAAUCAGAAAGCCACGGCUAACUACGUG